UACGUAGGGUGCAAGCGUUGUCCGGAAUUAUUGGGCGUAAAGAGCUCGUAGGCGGUUCAGUAAGGCGGGUGUGAAAACUCUGGGCUCAACCCAGAGACGCCACCCGAUACUGCUGUGACUUGAGUACGGUAGGGGAGUGGGGAAUUCCUGGUGUAGCGGUGAAAUGCGCAGAUAUCAGGAGGAACACCAGUGGCGAAGGCGCCACUCUGGGCCGUAACUGACGCUGAGGGGCGAAAGCGUGGGUAGCAAACAGG
rnacentral:rRNA from 1 species